rnacentral:lncRNA from 10 species
GACUCUCAGGGUGACCAUCCACAUAGGAGAAGGCCUGCUCUCCCCUCAUAUCCAAAAAGACUGUGAAAGUUAGGGAUGCUUUUACAGCAGCAGAGUUUGCCACCCUCUGCACUACCUCAUCUUUUGAUCUAACAAUUUUUUUGUGGGUGUGGCAAUUGCCACAGCCAGCUUGGAGAACCUGGCCUGCUCAUUCCAGAAAUAUUGGCCCCUUGAGUGCCUUAGAAACCAUAAAAGAAGAGUUGGUUUGUACAGUCAGCUUUAUUACCCUUUCCCCACUCCCAUUUCUAUGAUUGAUAUGGUUUGAGUCUAUGUCCCCACCCAAAUUUCAUCUUGAAGCGUAAUCUUCAUAAUCCCCAUGUGUCAAGGGUGAGACCUGGUGGGAGGUGAUUAGAUAAUGGGGGUGGUUUCCCCAACACUGUUCUCAUGAGAGUGAGUUCUCAUGAAACUGAUGGUUUUAUAAGUGUUUGACAGGUCCUUCUUCACACACUCAUACUCUCUCCUGCUGCCUUGUGCAGAUGGUACCUGCUUCCCCUUCUGCCAUGAUUGUAAGUUUCCUGAGGUCUUCCCGGCCAUGUGGAACUAGAACAAAGAAGAGGCACCUUCAUUCACUUCUACACAGAGCAUCAAAGCUGCCCCACUAUGAUGAGAAAUGUCAAAGGCAUAUCCAGAGCAAAAGUAUUUAGAAAAUUAAAGAAGUUGACUCUCAAAGGUUUGCCAAGGAGGCAAGUCUUUACAAGUAUCAGCUCAAGGCUCCAUUUAACUUGCAAAUUGAGCUAAACAGGGUGACCCUGGUUUUGUUUGUCUGUUCAUCUCAGUGUGCAAAAUAUUUUUUUCCUGACUAUGAUGCAUGAUGUGUAUCUUUAACCAUGACUGUAAUAGGGCAAAUACUUUGUGUGUUUCUUCUUAAACCCAUGUGUGCCAAUUAUAUUUGUUAUUGUAAUUUUGCAAUUUAAUUAUAUUGCAUAAGAUGCACUCUGAGUGUAAAAAGGGUUUGUUGUUGUUUCAAAACUAAUCCUAGAGCUUUCAGAUAGAUCUUUGAUAAAAGCAAAUUUAAGUAUUUUGUGUAAACAAAUGCCAGCGUAACUUCCAAGUGGAUCAAGGAUUCAAAUGUAAAAAAUAAAAGCAUGAAAGUAC